UCUCAUUCUAGAAAUGGUGUAGUACGUUAUGUGCAGUAUGACUGCUUGUAUGCAUGUGAAUUACCUGUGAAGAGGAAGCCUCGGGGACGACCCAGGACACGCUGGAGAGACAGUCUCCCGGCUGGCCUGGGAACGCCUCAGGAUGCCCCCCCAGAUUUGCACCAUUAAUUUUAAGAGGACUCGGCUCAAUAGGGUGGAAGAACGACCAUUCAUCCAUCCAUUUUCCAUACCGCCUAUCAUCAAUAGGGUCGCAGGCGUGCUGGCGCCUAUCUCAGCCGACUCUGGGCGAGAGCCGGGGUACACCCCAAACCAGAGUUCAUCUCUACAAAUGGAAUAGCGUGUUGACGACUUUUCUUGAAGCCGAGAAGAGCAGCAGAAGAAAGACAGCGAGAACGAAAAUGGAAAAAAAAAAGAAAGUAGCAGCAGCGAAGUUUCUCUUCUCAGCUAAGAAGGCAGCAUGUUUCUGUGUCACUCUUUUCCCUUUUCAUGGCAAAGGGAGAGGAGCCAAGGUCGAGCGUGUCAGUGUGAGUCAAGCCUGAAAGUGUGAAGACUCCAAUUAGACGUAGCCUGGGGUCUGACUCCAAAAGACAAGGAUAACAUACACCCCUCUGCGAAAAUGUGCCAAACAACGCAAAGUGCAAACACAUACACACAUGCAUCUUCACUUCCCUGUUUUACAUGGAAUGCAUCUUGAUGCCACAUCUGUUUGCACCCCAUCCAUCAUCUCUAGCAAGCAACAGGCACAAUUAUUAACAAGCAAAAUCUGUCAUGCCCUAUUAGUGCAAUAAGGAACCUGCUAAGGCAAGUAAACUGUUUAUUAAUGUAUGGCUCAUGUAUCUAAUUGUGUGUUGAGGAAAAAAACUAAUGUUUAUAAUUUUGCAGUCUAUUUGCACUUAAUUCAAAACACUGUAUAACAAUCCCAGCAUUGAUUAUUAAAUUCGUUGUAGAAGGGUGUUACAUCAUCUUUUACUUUUUCUUCUGUGUAUUUGACAAGUGUCCGACUGGGUUUCUUUCCCAAAUUCAAUAUUUCUUUUAAAAAGAAGAAAUACAACUCAUUAAACAAUUUUUACUUUGCUAAUGCAUUCCAUUUUUUUCCUUGG